rnacentral:rRNA from 1 species
AAACGCUUGAAGUCAGUCGUAUCUGCCAGGACUCAGCCUUGCUUCUGCUUGGUGCACUUUCUGGUCAGAUGGGCCAACAUCGAUUUUGACCGUUGGAAAAAGGCUUGGGGAAUGUGGCACUUUCGGGUGUGUUAUAGCCCGUUGCAUAAUACCCUGCGGUGGACUGAGGACCGCGCAU